rnacentral:rRNA from 1 species
UCUGAUGUUAGCGGCGGACGGGUGAGUAACACGUGGAUAACCUACCUAUAAGACUGGGAUAACUUCGGGAAACCGGAGCUAAUACCGGAUAAUAUUUUGAACCGCAUGGUUCAAAAGUGAAAGACGGUCUUGCUGUCACUUAUAGAUGGAUCCGCGCUGCAUUAGCUAGUUGGUAAGGUAACGGCUUACCAAGGCAACGAUGCAUAGCCGACCUGAGAGGGUGAUCGGCCACACUGGAACUGAGACACGGUCCAGACUCCUACGGGAGGCAGCAGUAGGGAAUCUUCCGCAAUGGGCGAAAGCCUGACGGAGCAACGCCGCGUGAGUGAUGAAGGUCUUCGGAUCGUAAAACUCUGUUAUUAGGGAAGAACAUAUGUGUAAGUAACUGUGCACAUCUUGACGGUACCUAAUCAGAAAGCCACGGCUAACUACGUGCCAGCAGCCGCGGUAAUACGUAGGUGGCAAGCGUUAUCCGGAAUUAUUGGGCGUAAAGCGCGCGUAGGCGGUUUUUUAAGUCUGAUGUGAAAGCCCACGGCUCAACCGUGGAGGGCCAUUGGAAACUGGAAAACUUGAGUGCAGAAGAGGAAAGUGGAAUUCCAUGUGUAGCGGUGAAAUGCGCAGAGAUAUGGAGGAACACCAGUGGCGAAGGCGACUUUCUGGUCUGUAACUGACGCUGAUGUGCGAAAGCGUGGGGAUCAAACAGGAUUAGAUACCCUGGUAGUCCACGCCGUAAACGAUGAGUGCUAAGUGUUAGGGGGUUUCCGCCCCUUAGUGCUGCAGCUAACGCAUUAAGCACUCCGCCUGGGGAGUACGACCGCCAGGUUG